UUUCAGGUUCCUGUUAUACAAUUUCUACUCGGACAAGUUGGUCUAGUGACAGGGGACCAAAUGCUAUCAAUUUGGAGAUACGUGGUUGUUGGGGCGGUUGUUGCAGCUGCUGUACUCACACCAUCAACUGAUCCUCUUACCCAGAUGCUUUUAGCAGCACCUCUUCUCGGUCUUUAUUUGGGUGGUGCAUGGAUGGUGAAGCUCACAGGCCGAUGAUAAAGUUUUUAACAUUCGUCAAGCGCAGGAGAUUUACUCUUAGUGGUCAGUGCAUUUAGAGGGCAGAAUGGCCCCUGUAUAGUUGCCCAAAGGUCGUAACAUAUUAGUAAAUUGGAUAUCAGGACGAAUCAUGGAUAUUUAUUCUUGAAAUCUCUAGUUUAAUUUGUAUUUACCUUCCCUCUCUCACAUCCUCUCU
rnacentral:misc_RNA from 1 species